GUGCACAGGCUCGGGCUUAUGUCUGAGGUAAAUGCCAAUAGGGUCUUUUUUUUUUUUCCUAGCAGAAGUAAUUUACAAUUACAUGAUAAUUCAUCAUUAAAUUCUUAGGAAGUGCCUUGCGCUGUUUUAUGGAAAAGGGUGUUUGUUAUAAGUAAGAAAGAGGGANNNAAUUUUACUUGAUCUCUUUAUUACUCGUAGAAAUUACUGUUUGUAAUAUGUUUUCUCCUCCCC
rnacentral:misc_RNA from 1 species